UCAAGAGAGAAGGACUUGGCUGUCUGAGGUGGAAUAUUGCUGGGGAAAGGCAGAGGAAGCUGGAGAGCUCUAGCCUAGCAAAGCCCCAGGCUGCAGGUCGAGCUAAGGGUCCACAAAAGGAUACUAGGGCUGCAGGGGGGCAACCCAGAUAUAGGAAAGGCAGCAGGUCUGCCCCACCCCCUUGCUGAUGAUGAGUGGUUUAUAGACUACAGUCUGCCCCAAUGAGUGGGGGCUAGCUGAUGAUUGGCAGUAGUCAUUGAGGCAAGGUGGGGUUAGGGGUUCCCCUGGAUGGGGAGACCCAGAUUGUGGGUUGCUGCAAGGGGGCAGACCCUGAUGUAAAGGGUACCAGGGUCUGGGAGGGAUAUGAGGACCAGCAGCAGGUGAGACACUGGCCUGCAGAGGGUGCUCCAGAGCUGGAAAAGAGCUAAUUCCCUGGACAACCAGCAGGAGGUGCCAUGCUGAUUGAGGGUGGAUGAUUCCACAUUCUCAUUUUACACAGCCUUGAUUUUAUGGACAUCUUGGGAAUGCACAGAAACCUAGUGAAACCAGUGUACAACACAACAACUUGCCUGUUGUGAUCUGUCAUUCUGUCAGAUAUUACAGUGGUUGACCUUCAAUCAAUUAGCCUGCAAGUUGCUUAACCCUUUCUGGCUCAGUGUCACAACAACAUUGCCAUGAAAAUGGCAAACUGGAAGUCUGAUGACACUUCUGACCUAAUUUUAUAGACCCAAAGGAUCUGUGUGCUCUAGAUAUGUACUAACAGUUUCUUGGAAGUCAUUGUGAGCCCACAGUUAAAUACAGAGAGUAUAUAGCAAGGUUUUUAAACUAAGAA